AAACCCUAAUCCACCAGUCAGGUCUCCUGUUCAAAGGUCUUGCUGUCUCUAAGCCAGACCUGACCAUCUCUCUGGAGUGAAGCAAAGAGCCCUGAAGACACAACACAUUAGCAAGACCCCCAGCUGGAUUCCAGGUUUGUGUUGUAUACUAUCAGACAAUAGAAAAUUUUUCAAGAGGCCAGCAUAGCAGCCACAGCAUUCACCUGACAAUGCAAAAACUGAAUUUAAAAAAUGUUGCCUUUCUACCAAAACAUAAC